rnacentral:rRNA from 1 species
UACAGAGGUCCCAAGCGUUGUUCGGAUUCACUGGGCGUAAAGGGUGCGUAGGCGGUCGGGUAAGUCUGAUGUGAAAUCUCCAAGCUCAACUUGGAAAUGGCAUCGGAUACUAUUCGGCUCGAGGAAUGGAGGGGAGACUGGAAUACUUGGUGUAGCAGUGAAAUGCGUAGAUAUCGGGAGGAACAUCUGUGGCGAAGGCGACACCCUGGACCAGCACUGACACUGAGGCACGAAAGCGUGGGGAGCAAACAGG